UUGACCCUCUUUCGAACUGAUGGCACAACUGCUGAUAUCGACUUUGGAUUUGUACCGCCAUAUUCACCAACUUUAUCGCGCAUCUUCCACCACCUCGAGGCUUUGGUAUGAUUGGCCUGCAUACAGUCAAUGUCAAUAACAUUGUUUCUAGAAGCUCAUUUCAACAUACCUUGUAGUUUCCGCGGAACUCUGAGGCAAAUUCGGCGAUCGCUCUAAGGAUCAAGCUUUGUUCAUCAUUCUGGUCUGCAUCAGUUAUUAUCCAAUUAAUCACAGUGAGCCGCGACGUUAUCGAUACAACCUGUUGAAGCUUGCGCUUGCGCUUAUUGACGAGUUGACCGUCGUGAUCGUGAUUCUCAUCUUCAAUAUCCUCUACUCCUCUCCUACAUCUUCGUUGUCAUCAAGUUUCUCGUCAUCGACAUCGCCUGCUGGGACAUUAGCGCCGGCAGUACGUGCAAAAGCAGCGAUAUCGGCGAUGGAGAGCUCAACGCCUCGAUACUGGUUAAAACCACCAUAAAAGCACUAACACGGUCAAAAAUAGAAUGAGAGUGACGUCAUUUUACUGUACAGUAUAUUAGUUACGAAAUUUGUAAAGUCCGUGCGGAGUCCGCACUAUUUCUCAACCUCCCAGUUCACGACUCUCUCAGUAAAAUAUUAAUGUGGACCGCACUUUUCUCAAUCCACACGAAUUAUGGCCAUCAGUGUAGUGACGUGCAUGAAUGGAAUAAUGGGAUUCUCGCAGCUGCUAUCUACUGUCUAGCGAACCCACAGCCAAGGGAACGGGCUUGGAAUAAUCAGCGGGGAAAGAAGACCCUGUUGAGCUUGACUCUAGUCUGACGUUGUGAAAUGACUUGGGAGGUGUAGAAUAAGUGGGAGGCUCUGCCGCACGUGAAAUACCACUACUCUCAAUGUUGUUUUACUUAUACCAUGAUGUAGCAACUGGUUGGCUUCGCGGUCGCUCAGUUCUAGAAAUAAGCCAGGUUAUACCUAGGCAAGCUACGUGGAAGACAUCGUCAGGCGGGGAGUUUGGCUGGGGCGGCACAUCUGUUAAAUGAUAACACAGGUGUCCUAAGGUGAGCUCAAUGAGAACAGAAAUCUCAUGUAGAACAAAAGGUAAAGCUCACUUGAUUUUGAUUUUCAGUAUGAAUACAAACCGUGAAAGCGUGGCCUAUCGAUCCUUUAGUUCUUUAGAAUUUUAAGCUAGAGGUGUCAGAAAAGUUACCACAGGGAUAACUGGCUUGUGGCAGCCAAGCGUCCAUAGCGACGUUGCUUUUUGAUUCUUCGAUGUCGGCUCUUCCUAUCAUUGCGAAGUAGAACUCGCCAAUUGUUGGAUUGUUCACCCACUAAUAGGGAACGUGAGCUGGGUUUAGACCGUCGUGAGACAGGUUAGUUUUACCCUACUGAUGAGUUCGUUGUCUAAACAGUAAUCCAACCCAGUACGAGAGGAACCGUUGGUUCAGAAAUUGGUAACUGCGGUUAGCUGAAAAGCUAGUGCCGCCAAGCUACCAUCUGUAGGAUUAUGGCUGAACGCCUCUAAGUCAGAAUCCAUGCUGGAAUAGACGAUAAUCACCUUUCCUGAUGUACCGCGAAUAGCGAUAGGAAUUCGUGUGGAUUGAGAAAAGUGCGGUCCACAUUAAUAUUUUACUGAGAGAGUCGUGAACUGGGAGGUUGAGAAAUAGUGCGGACUCCGCACGGACUUUACAAAUUUCGUAACUAAUAUACUGUACAGUAAAAUGACGUCACUCUCAUUCUAUUUUUGACCGUGUUAGUGCUUUUAUGGUGGUUUUAA
rfam:Hyaloperonospora arabidopsidis Emoy2 Contig39.3, whole genome shotgun sequence.